CAAGCUGUAAGAUGAAAUAACCCCCUUCCUUCCCAAGUUGCUUUGGACCAUGGAGUAAGAAGCACCCAAACUAUGACAACGAUUCAGGUGGCCAUCAACCAUGCUCUGAGAGAUGUCACUUCUUCCUGGAGCUGGAGAACUCCAUCAAAGGCCGACAUCCAGGUGGCUCAAGCUUGUCUCAGAAAAAGCCUGACCAAUAAAGAUAGAGGCACAUGGAACAGAUGAGAAUCAGUACAUCCAAUGAAACAGCCUAAUGCAACCUGUGGGAGUAGCUGAAAACUACUGGGAGGGACAAACUCAUCUUUCCAAGUCAUUAGAUGGACUUGGUAGAGCAACACAUAACCUGAGAAGGCGAUCAUCUUAACUGAGAGAUGAGCUUUUUUACAUGAUG